rnacentral:rRNA from 1 species
GAUGAACGCUGGCGGCGUGCCUAAUACAUGCAAGUCGAGCGAACAGACGAGGAGCUUGCUCCUCUGACGUUAGCGGCGGACGGGUGAGUAACACGUGGAUAACCUACCUAUAAGACUGGGAUAACUUCGGGAAACCGGAGCUAAUACCGGAUAAUAUAUUGAACCGCAUGGUUCAAUAGUGAAAGACGGUUUUGCUGUCACUUAUAGAUGGAUCCGCGCCGCAUUAGCUUGUUGGUAAGGUAACGGCUUACCAAGGCAACGAUGCGUAGCCGACCUGAGAGGGUGAUCGCCCACACUGGAACUGAGCCACGGUCCAGACUCCUACGGGAGGCAGCAGUAGGGAAUCUUCCGCAAUGGGCGAAAGCCUGACGGAGCAACGCCGCGUGAGUGAUGACGGUCUUCGGAUCGUAAAACUCUGUUAUUAGGGAAGAACAAAUGUGUAAGUAACUAUGCACGUCUUGACGGUACCUAAUCAGAAAGCCACGGCUAACUACGUG